UCGUGUCCCGUGGCCUGCUGCUGUGAAGAGUUGAACUCAGCGUUAUAUUGAGCUGUAACAGCUCGGUAAAUGUUGAUGACAUGUGGAGACAGCAGGUAAAAACAGAGGAAGAAGAGAAGUCGGAGGAUUUUAUCAGAGCUAAAGACGAAGAAGAUGAAAACAUGAAGAUCCAGAUAGAAGCAGUUUACAGCCUCAACCAUCAGCUGCAGACAUCAGAUUCCAUCAAUCCAGGCGGGGCAGACAAAAAGAGGACUACAUGGGCCAUUCUAGGCCAAAAGAAAGGAUGCAAACAGUACAGAGCUUGUGUGUUCCUGGAUCCUGAGAGGCUGCUAACAAAAGCCACAGUGUGGGGCAGUGUAUUGAUUGAUCAGUCUGAUGUUGUGUAGUGUGAGGUGGUUGUCAAAGACAGAAUAAAACAAAGCUUAACAAGAAGUGGCAUGAUUUAGCUGAUGGGGUUUAAAAAAGGAUUCAGAGCCUUUUUUUGUACAUGUAGUACAUGAUGUUCCUACUGUAUAAUACAUAAAUCAUUUUACCCUGCCUGAUUAAAAAGCUGAAAGAGUGAGCAUUUAAGCCA